UAGGAUACAAAAUUGAGUUCAUCGAGAAAAUUUAAGAAAAAUGGCGAAGUCUGGACGCUGCAAGGGUGAAAAACUUAAGUGGAAAAAAUAAAUUUACUACACAUAAAUAAUACACAGCUUUGUUUAAAUAGUUCUGGACUAAAAGUGAAGAAAGUCUUGUGAGAGUAACUUCGAUGCUUUCCGGAUAGCGUCUUCAGGAAUAUGGACAACUUCACGGAAUAUGGAGGACGCUGCCCAAGACCUGAGCAAGACCGGUGAAGAUUUG